UGUAUUAACAUAUAUUACUUGUAUUAUUAAUAUAUAACAUAUACAUUACAAAUUUUGUGUGUAAAAUGAACCACAACAGCAUUUCUGAUUCCUCCUCUUAUUGGAUGUCAGUUAUUAGUUUCACCAACUACACAUGCUAUAUCCUGAAAAAAAAAUUGAUUUUAAAUGAAAUAAUGCCAUUUAUAGAAUGCAUAUUGAAUAUCUCUAUGACAUGUUUUUAUCAAAUGUUUUUUAAAGUCAGUACUCAGUUACCUUAUACUUCCUCUGAGACUAGUGUGGAAUUAGCUACAUAUGCCACCAUUUGGGAAAUAUUGGGAGAGAGAAGGAAAAACAAAAGAGAAACAAGCACUUGCAUGUUGGUUUGGUAUACUGGGUGCCUAACUGGCAAUCUCACAGUGUCAUUUCUCCCUAGCAUCUCCAGGGUUAUGAGGGUUGGGAAGAAUUGUUUGUUUUGCAAUAAAAUUAGAAUGAAAAAUUCCACUUUGUAAACUAGGUCAAAAAAUUAAAAGGAGAGAAUGUAUGUAAAGUCAGAAUGUAUGCAUGUAAGCAUCUAAAGAGAAUAAAGUAAGUCAUGUGAGAAUUUAUGUGUACAUUGCCUGGGAAAAACAAAUAUCAAAAAACCCAGAAUAUUAUUCCCAGAAGCCAGAUGGCUUAAUGCCUUUGAGGUUAUAUGGUCUGGGCUCCAACCCGAGGUCUAUGACUUGCCAGCUGUAUUGUCUACAGAUUGAGUUAUUCUUUUUACUCUUUAUUUUCAUUUGUUAACAAUCUGCCUAGCUCUCAGUACUAUGGUAAUGACUAAAUGAUUAUAUAUACUCUCAUAUAUAUGGGUAGAGAGCAACAAUAUAAUGAAGACACGAUCAAGGAGACAGGAGACUAAGAAGAAGACACUGAUAAAGCAGAAAAGACCAUAUGAAGUUGGAGCCAUGUGAAGUGUUGCAGCCACAAGCCUUGGAACACCCGGAGCCACCAGAAGCUGGAACAGACAAGGAAACAUUCUCAUUUCGAGCCUUUGGAGGGAACACGUCCCCUCCGACAUCUUGAUUUCAGACUUCUGAUCUUUAGACUGGAAGAGAAUGAAUUUCUGUUCUUUGAAGCCUCCUGAUUUGUAGCAAUUUGUCACAGGAGACUCAGGAAAGUCGUACAGGCUGCCAGGAAAUUAACUCCAUAAAAUAACUUCUCUAAAUCAA